rnacentral:rRNA from 1 species
GGGUUGUGAGGUUAAGCGACUAAGCGUACACGGUGGAUGCCCUGGCAGUCAGAGGCGAUGAAGGACGUGCUAAUCUGCGAAAAGCGUCGGUAAGGUGAUAUGAACCGUUACAGCCGGCGAUGUCCGAAUGGGGAAACCCAGUGCAAUUCGUUGCACUAUCGUUAACUGAAUACAUAGGUUAACGAGGCGAACCGGGGGAACUGAAACAUCUAAGUACCCCGAGGAAAAGAAAUCAACCGAGAUUCCCCCAGUAGCGGCGAGCGAACGGGGAGCAGCCCGGAGUCUGAAUCAGCUUGUGUGUUAGUGGAAGCGUCUGGAAAGUCGCAGGGUACAGGGUGAUACUCCCGUACACUAAAGCGCACAGGCUGUGAACUCGAAGAGUAGGGCGGGACACGUGGUAUCCUGUCUGAAUAUGGGGGGACCAUCCUCCAAGGCUAAAUACUCCUGACUGACCGAUAGUGAACCAGUACCGUGAGGGAAAGGCGAAAAGAACCCCGGCGAGGGGAGUGAAAAAGAACCUGAAACCGUGUACGUACAAGCAGUAGGAGCCC